rnacentral:lncRNA from 1 species
CGGCUUCACACUGUGAUACUCAGGGGGUGUACCACAUCUGUACAUUAAGAAAACACAGUGGAACAAAUUUUCAUGGGGACUGAAGCAAAGAAAUGCGCAGUAUCUGAAUCUCCCCUGCAUUUCAGUAUCUCUGAUCUAGAGUCCUACAUCUUGGGCAGCUUUGGGCAUGGGUACCUUUUCAACUCAGGACCUACAGGAACGAGGCAACAACCAAGCAGUCUGAGAGGUGGCCGCCUCACCACUGGACCAGCUCUACUUAAUUCUAUCCAUAGGAUGUCUGCCUGAGCCACACACGUAAGGAGGACCAAGCACAUGUAACAAAAUAAGUUUUUCAAAUGUCACCCUUAGACUUAAG